AUGAGGGUACCCGCCUUCUCGCUGUGCUUGCUCUUGGCCCUCGUCGCGGCAAAUGUUGCUAGCCUCGCCGUCGCUGGGAGGGCGCCGGAGCUGAAACAUGAGCCCAGCCUAGAGCCGAAGCCUACGCCACAGCCUGACCCCAAACCAGACCCGCAGACCGACCCUAAACUCGCGCCGACACCUAAGCCCGACCCUAAACUCGCGCCAAAACCUGACCCGAAACCAGACCCGCAGCCAGACCCAAAACCGGCGCCAAAACCUGACCCAACACCCAAGCCCGACCCUAAACCGGCGCCAAAACCUGACCCGACGCCCAAGCCCGACCCCAAACCAGACCCGCAGCCCGACCCUAAACCGGGGCCAAAGCCUGAUCCCAAGCCCACGCCCGACCCAAAGCCUGCCCCGGGCCCCAGCCCGAAGCCGGACCCGAAACCCCAGCCGCCGGAACAGUCGUCCUCGCAGCCGAAGCAGCCGCCACGUUCGCCGUCAGGCUACUUCAACUGA
rnacentral:rRNA from 1 species